GUGCUCGCUUCGGCAGCACAUAUACUAAAAUUGGAACGAUACAGAGAAGAUUAGCAUGGCCCCUGUGCAAGGAUGACAUGCAAAUUCGUUUAUUUAAUAAAU
rnacentral:snRNA from 1 species